rnacentral:sRNA from 1 species
GUUGAGCAGCGUAGGGAUUGCAGUGGAAAUCCUUUUUUGAGGCACGAAAAAAAGAUUGCAGCGAAAAGCCCGACCCUUG